AUUGAACGCUGGCGGCAGGCCUAACACAUGCAAGUCGAGCGAGCGGCGGACGGGUGAGUAAUGUCGGGGAAACUGCCUGAUGGAGAGGGAUAACUACUGGAAACGGUAGCUAAUACCGCAUACCAUCAGAUGGGCACAGAGGGGAUUAGCUAGUAGGUGGGGUAACGGCUCACCUAGGCGACGAUCCCUAGCUGGUCUGAGAGGAUGACCAGCGACACUGGAACUGCGACACGGUCACGACUCCUACGGGAGGCAGCCGGGGUGAAUAUUGCACAAUGGGCGCAAGCCUGAUGCAGCCAUGCCGCGGGUGUGAAGAAGGCCUUAGGGUUGUAAACCACUUUCAGCGGGGAGGCGUUACCCGCAGAAGAAGCACCGGCUAACUCCGUGCCAGCAGCCGCGGUAAUUC
rnacentral:rRNA from 1 species